AGUGUAACCUGGGGUAGGAAAAAACUGCCCUUAGUCCCGCCUUGCUGCCCCAUUGGUUAGAGUGACAGUCAGUCACACAGUGCAUUCAACCAAUUGACACACCUGAGGUAAUUAUUUAGGCUUGCUCCAGCUUUCCCCAGUCAGGUGUGAGGGGGAGAGCUGGAGACAAAGGAGCUGCAGAUCUGAGAAUCCGGUGAGUUUGGAGACAUGAAGCUGUCAUGCACCCAACUAUUGAUAGAAUUGGUGAGUAGUGAACACAAUGUUGUUUUGUUUGUUUUAGCAUGUUGGUGGUAGCCAAUGCUAAUUGUGAUCAUUAACUGUUGUAUGAUCUAACUUCUUAAGUUCUACAUGUUUAAGAUAAUGAGAUGAAUGUUUAUCUUUAUUUGGUCUGAAAGAUUAGAUUUAUUGCAUUUAUUUCUGUAUGUAACUGAAAAAAGUCUAGUUAACUAGCAGGCUGAAAAUUUACUGGUCCUGUUUAUUUUAAUACAGGCCAGGGGAUCCCUUUGUAGGAUUAAAGGAUGGCGAGCUUCUGAAAACUGGCUGGGGCCAGGAGAACCUAACAAUCACUCCAUACUGGUCUGGUAGGAGGUUGACGGUCUGUAUCAUUUCCCCCUCCAUCUCACCAUUCAGGCACACAAUCCAUUACUCAUCUCUUCAUCCGAAACAUCUUGCGCUGGGACAUUGUCAUCUUAAAUAUCUGGAUAAUCCAAUCAUGGACUUCUGAAUGUGUGUCGGUCAGACAUUGUGCUGACCAGCGGGGAAGUUUAGGACCAGUUGUGCACAAAUGUAUGAAGGAUCUGCCUCAGUACUGUGUAUAUUUAUUUUGGGUUUUAUGUAUUUGUCUUGUAUUGUUCACUUUAAUUUUCUCUUCAAGAUACAUGGUAUUGAAAGCAGUUCUUUUGCAUUGUUUUUAUUGAUUACUGACAACGGCCUUUUGCUAAUAAAAUGUGUCACUUUGACACUUA